CACACGUAUUUUUCAAUCAUUUUUUUUCUGUAUUAAGAAAAGCGGUGAUGGCCGGUUGUUUCAAUAAGUUAUUUUCACAGUUAUUCAACAAGAAGGUUUCCGUCUCGCCUAAAUAUAGAAGUACGUUUUCCGAGUCAUCAGUUGCAGUGAGUACCUGUUAUUGAUUGUACAUUACACGCGAGUUAAGGAAGUGAUGGUGAGUAUAAUCUUCCAUUGGUUGAUCAUCCUUUGGAACAUCUGGUUCAUCAUUAAUUGUAGUCUGGUUGAUAAUUUCUUCAAGAUCGAAAGUUUCGCUCGUUAUCAAGUGGUCGUCAAUGGAUGUUCAUCAUUUUCACUGUCGUAUUUAACUUGAUUUUUUCAAUAUUGAAAUGUACGAUAGGCUAGAAAAGAGAGCGCGUUACGUAUUAAGCGGGAGCUUAUUAAGCGUGUUUUUUGUCAAUGUUAAAAGACCUACAGGUCCCGGAAAAAUUCUACGUAUUAAGCAGGAGCGUCUCAAUAUAUUAUGAUUUUAUCAACAGCUAAAAACUCAUCAGGUCGAAUUGAUUCAAAUGAAUUUCGUAUGACAUCAAUUAAAC